rnacentral:rRNA from 1 species
UACGUAGGGUGCGAGCGUUGUCCGGAAUUACUGGGCGUAAAGAGCUCGUAGGUGGUUUGUUGCGUUGUUCGUGAAAACCGGGGGCUUAACCCUCGGCGUGCGGGCGAUACUGGCAGACUUGAGCACUGCAGGGGAGACUGGAAUUCCUGGUGUAGCGGUGGAAUGCGCAGAUAUCAGGAGGAACACCGGUGGCGAAGGCGGGUCUCUGGGCAGUAACUGACGCUGAGGAGCGAAAGCGUGGGGAGCGAACAGG